AAGACCCCAGCUUAGCAGCAGUAACGCCAUUUUGCAAGGCUGUACUUAAGAUGACUGGUUCAGGGAAAGGUUAGAACACUGAGUACACAGCGGCUGCCAAGCAGGAUGUGUUUGGUUGAAGGCCUGGCAACAGGACGACUUCGGUAGAGCACCUGACAAUGAAAAAAAAAGCCCCGGGAGAGGUCCCACACCCUGGUGGGGGGCCGAGUCAGUCGUUAUGUUCCAAGAAGGUAGCUAGGAAACUUGCCCCCGGGCUAAACCCUUGCCAUAUUAGAAUCCACCAAUUAUAUCCCUGUAACCAUGCAUCUGCUUCUGUAUGCUUGCUUCUGCUCCCCAAAAUCCUAUAAAAGCCCAUCCUUGGUUCCGUGGGGCGCGCCAGUCCCCCGAGUGACUGAAGCGCCCGCAGGUGCCUGUGCCUGUGUAUCCCGACAAUAAACCAAAUCCUCUUGCUGAUUGCA